rnacentral:lncRNA from 1 species
AGAAUAUGACCUUGACCUUUGACCUUGACCUAAUUUUCAUUUUUUGGGACCAAGGACCUCAAAUCAAAAGAUCCUAGGUCUCUAUCACUUAUGGUUAUAAGAUAGAAAUUCAUAUCACUUAUAUCAGAUGCAUAAGGGGAAAUAACUCUCAUAGUGGAGCGGUCAUAUCGCUUCGGUCAAAAUAGGACAAAUCAUGCGAAGGAUAUAACGAGCAAUUUUGCAAAAAAUAAAUUUGUCAUAAUCUUUAACGGUUGCGAAGGAGAUGCGAUAACAAGGAAAACAGUGUUUGGGGAGAUAACUCCUACAAAGAAAAGUAUUCGUUUACGCAGGGUAAAUUUCAAAAGCGCAUAAACUGUUCGAUAUCAUAUACAAAAUAUCUAAGCGACAUAUUGCGAAACAAAUGUUUAUCGCAAGAACAAAAUUAGGCGGAAGAAAAAAAAAAUAAUCAGAAGAAAAACAAUAGGUCUUUCCACAGAAAAGUGGAAA